CUGUCCGCUGUCAUGUCACUACACUCAAAUGCCCAUAGAAUUUCUUACACCUACACUCAAAAGUGUAACACUAAAAAACAAAGGAACAGACCUAAUAAAUUGACAAAGUUAUUCAAGGCCAAAUUUGACGUGUUAAAGCACACUUUGACAUCUAAGUUUGUUCGUUAUAAACUUCACCUGAAGAAAAAGAAAAUUGUUCUAUUUUUUCAUUUAUUUUACGUGAAUUCAGUGUCACCAACCUGUGUCCAUUUGGCGGGAAGUGGAAGUAGAGCUUUUUGUUUAUUAUUAUUUUUGUUGAGGUUGAGUCGAGUCUUUCAUGUUCAUGAUCAUGACAACCUAAAAAUUUUGAUUGGAAAAUGCAAAUAAGAUAAGGGGGUGGGAAAAUGGAAAUUAGUGGCUUUUUUGCAGUUCUGUCUGUUAGUUUUGCGUUUUGCUCUGGCUGGGUCUCUUUUGUUUAAACAAUUAUAAUCAGCUGAAAGUGGUCUACAAAAAAACCAGGAAGGAAACGUAUUAUAGCCUUGUUGUGGCUAUGAAAGGCAAAAGAAAGAUACCUAUAAAAGUGUAUUGACUAGUUGGAAGAAACUCCACAUUGUCGAUGCAUAAUAAGAUAUUACUUUAUAAACAAAUAUCAAGACCUAGGAAUGAAACCUGGAUAAUAUAGUCAUCAAGAAGAUAGCAGGAAGUCAUGAGCAACAACAACUUCAUAAGUAUGAGAAUAUUGAGGAAAUACACACUCCUCGAUAUCUACUACUGGACAAACUAGAAGAUUGAAGAGGACAAAGCCUUUUGAACUAGUUUGAGUGAUAGGUGAUAGUGAAAAGCAGAGCGUAGUGCUUGUGUGCCUGUGUAUGUUAGAAUAGUGCACGAUCUUGUUAGAUUAGAUAAGAGACGCUAUUGGGUAAGCUCUUCAUUUUAAGGAACAGUAGUAAUUUAGGUUAAAUUAAAUUUGCUCAUUGGUCAGUUAUGACCAGAUUGUAAUUCUCUGAUGUUUGGCAAAAAGGGCUUAAGUCAGAAUUGCACAUCAAUAAUGGUUUGAUGAUUUCUGGACCAUAAAAAAAGUGUUGCAGACUUAAACUGUAUGUACCAAUAAAAAGAGCCGAUUUUUCUGGUCCAGAAAUCAUCAAAACAUUAUCGAUGUGCAAUUCUGACUUAAGCCCUUUUUCCCAAACAUCAGAGAAUUGCAAUGUACAAUUCAAUACAAAUGAAUCAUCAUCCUAGUGAUGAUUAUGGAAAAAAAUAUAUGACAAGAUUUUGUGCAAUAAAAAUGUUUAUAUUUA